UACAGAGGUCCCAAGCGUUGUUCGGAUUCAUUGGGCGUAAAGGGUGCGUAGGCGGUCUGUUGCGUCGGUUGUGAAAACCUGGGGCUCAACUCCAGGCCUGCAAUCGAUACGGGCAGACUAGAGUUCGGUAGGGGAGACUGGAAUUCCUGGUGUAGCGGUGAAAUGCGCAGAUAUCAGGAAGAACACCAACGGCGAAGGCAGCUCGCUGGGACGGUACUGACGCUGAGACGCGAAAGCGUGGGGAGCGAACAGG
rnacentral:rRNA from 1 species